AGUUAGACUCUACUAUUAAGGA
rnacentral:tRNA from 1 species